AGUGAACGCUGGCGGUAGGCCUAACACAUGCAAGUCGAACGGCAGCACAGUAAGAGCUUGCUCUUACGGGUGGCGAGUGGCGGACGGGUGAGGAAUACAUCGGAAUCUACUUUUUCGUGGGGGAUAACGUAGGGAAACUUACGCUAAUACCGCAUACGACCUACGGGUGAAAGCAGGGGUUCUUCGGACCUUGCGCGAUUGAAUGAGCCGAUGUCGGAUUAGCUAGUUGGCGGGGUAAAGGCCCACCAAGGCGACGAUCCGUAGCUGGUCUGAGAGGAUGAUCAGCCACACUGGAACUGAGACACGGCCCAGACUCCUACGGGAGGCAGCAGUGGGGAAUAUUGGACAAUGGGCGCAAGCCUGAUCCAGCCAUACCGCGUGGGUGAAGAAGGCCUUCGGGUUGUAAAGCCCUUUUGUUGGGAAAGAAAAGCAGCAGGUUAAUACCCCGCUGUUCUGACGGUACCCAAAGAAUAAGCACCGGCUAACUUCGUG
rnacentral:rRNA from 1 species